UGCAUUCAAGUGAAGCAGCAUUUUAAAAAAUAAAUAAAUAAAGACUUGACAUUCGAAAGAGGCAAUGGAAAACUGGACAAAGAAAAUAAAAGCCAAAAUUUCUAAGAAAAAGUUUUGAAACAGGGACGAGCACCACAGUUGUUAAAGGCAUGCAUCAGGUUCAAGGCUCACAAGCGCUAGGUCUAGCAACUUUUCCAUGUUCAGGCAGGCAACCUAACUGAGAUUCGCUUAAUUGCCAAUGAGCCUUUUAGGCACAAGGCAAAACAAAGGCUCACCUCUG
rnacentral:misc_RNA from 1 species